AGCUCCAAUAGCGUAUAUUAAAGUUGUUGCGGUUAAAAAGCUCGUAGUUGGAUUUCUGUCUGGGAUGGUCGGUCCGCACUUUGUGCGUGCAUCUGAUGCGUCCUCGGCAUCCUUCUGAAGGACAUUGUACUUUAUUGUAUGAUGGAUUUCAGAACUUUUACUUUGAGGAAAUUAGAGUGUUCACAGCAAGCAAGCGCUUUGAAUACAUUAGCAUGGAAUAAUAAUAUAGGACCUUCAGUACUAUUUUGUUGGUUUCUAGAGCUGAGGUAAUGAUUAAUAGGGACAGUUGGGGGGCAUUCGUAUUAACGCGUCAGAGGUGGAAUUCUUGGAUUGCGUUACGACG
rnacentral:rRNA from 1 species